rnacentral:rRNA from 1 species
GUCCACACCGUAAACGAUGAUUACUAGGUGUUGGGGAUUGACCCCUUCAGUGCCGCAGUUAACACAAUAAGUAAUCCACCUGGGGAGUACGACCGCAAGGUUGAAACUCAAAGGAAUUGACGGGGCCCGCACAAGCAGUGGAGUAUGUGGUUUUAAUUCGACGCAACGCGAAGAACCUUACCAAGUCUUGACAUCCUGCGACGCACAUAGAAAUAUGUGUUUCCUUCGGGACGCAGAGACAGGGUGGUGCAUGGUUGUCGU